rnacentral:rRNA from 1 species
UACGUACCGUCCAAACGUUAUUCGGAAUUACUGGGCUUAAAGGGUACGUAGGCGGCGCUGUCAGUCGGGUGUGAAAGCCCUCGGCUCAACCGAGGAAUUGCGCCCGAUACUGCAGUGCUUGAGGGAGACAGAGGUAAGCGGAACUGAUGGUGGAGCGGUGAAAUGCGUUGAUAUCAUCAGGAACACCGGUGGCGAAAGCGGCUUACUGGGUCUCUUCUGACGCUGAGGUACGAAAGCUAGGGUAGCGAAGGGG